rnacentral:misc_RNA from 1 species
UGUUUUCUCAUCUCACUUAGGUUAGCAGCCAUAUCUUAUAAGCAUAAUGAAAAAGGGGAGGGAGGGAGGGGGGGGGAGGAGGAAAGAAGGGAAAUGUAAUUAUCUCAGCUGGCAAAACCAUUAUAAAUUUACUAAUAUCUACAUAUUCAGUGAACCAAUUCCACUAAAUCCAAGGUAAAUAAUAACAUGAAAAAUGAAAUAGUAGUUUCAAACAAGCCAUCAGCCAAGAAAUGAAAAUUACAAGAAUAAUGUAUAAAUCUCAAUGCAUAAGCAGGAAACAACUAGACAGGCUAAAAGAACAACAAAUGAAAAACCAAACCUACUUGCCACUAUCAAAAG